GAUGAAGAACGUAGCGAAAUGCGAUAAGUAAUGUGAAUUGCAGAAUUCAGUGAAUCAUCGAAUCUUUGAACGCACAUUGCGCCCCCUGGUAUUCCGGGGGGCAUGCCUGUUCGAGCGUCAUUUCACCACUCAAGCCUCGCUUGGUAUUGGGCAACGCGGUCCGCCGCGUGCCUCAAAUCGACCGGCUGGGUCUUAUGUCCCCUAAGCGUUGUGGAAACUAUUCGCUAAAGGGUGUUCGGGAGGCUACGCCGUAAAACAACCCCAUUUCUAAGGUUGACCUCGGAUCAGGUAGGGAUACCCGCUGAACUUAAGCAUAUCAAUAAGCGGAGGA
rnacentral:misc_RNA from 1 species